CAAGGUCUCGACGUGGGUCGCGAAACCCGAAGUGCAUGCCGAGGUGCAUGAUUCCUCGUUAAACUGUCUUGCAACAACGCUAGUUGCGAACGAUAGUAACUACGCCCUAGCCGCCUAAUCCCGGCUAGCCGUUGACUGGAGCCGUGCUUGUGCGUCCAGGCCCUUCGAGGGCGUUCAACGGUCGUGUCUCACAAGAUCGUGGUGUGAUGCAUCCGGCGUCAAACCACUAAAACAUACCGGACUCGCCGUCUGUUUUCCCUGCCCGUCGGGUAGCAGGCGGUUAAAUCAAAGACGUGUGCUACGCAUGUAGAGCUGAGGGUGGAGCACUUGCGGACGCGGGUUCGAUCA
rnacentral:tmRNA from 1 species